UACGUAGGGUGCAAGCGUUGUCCGGAAUUAUUGGGCGUAAAGAGCUCGUAGGCGGUUCGUCGCGUCGGCUGUGAAAACUCGGGGCUUAACCCCGGGCCUGCAGUGGGUACGGGCAGACUAGAGUGCGGUAGGGGAGACUGGAAUUCCUGGUGUAGCGGUGAAAUGCGCAGAUAUCAGGAGGAACACCGGUGGCGAAGGCGGGUCUCUGGGCCGAUACCGACGCUGAGGAGCGAAAGCGUGGGGAGCGAACAGG
rnacentral:rRNA from 1 species